GACAGAGGGUGCAAACGUUGUUCGGAAUUACUGGGCGUAAAGCGUGUGUAGGCGGCUACGUAAGUCGGAUGUGAAAGCCCCAGGCUCAACCUGGGAAGUGCACUCGAUACUGCGUAGCUUGAGUAUCGGAGAGGUUGGUGGAAUUCUCGGUGUAGAGGUGAAAUUCGUAGAUAUCAAGCGGAACACCGGUGGCGAAGGCGGUCUUCUGGACGAUGACUGACGCUGAGACGCGAAAGCGUGGGGAGCAAACAGG
rnacentral:rRNA from 1 species